rnacentral:rRNA from 1 species
UACGUAGGGGGCGAGCGUUGUCCGGAUUCAUUGGGCGUAAAGAGCUCGUAGGCGGCUUGUCAAGUCGGAUGUGAAAACUCCAGGCUCAACCUGGAGCCGCCAUUCGAUACUGCUAUGGCUAGAGUCCGGUAGGGGAGUGUGGAAUUCCCGGUGUAGCGGUGAAAUGCGCAGAUAUCGGGAGGAACACCGAUGGCGAAGGCAGCACUCUGGGCCGGUACUGACGCUGAGGAGCGAAAGCGUGGGGAGCGAACAGG